CAUUAGAUGGCUGAAAAUUAAGCAAUGGUCUCUUAAACCAAUAAAUAGUAAAUAAUUACUUCUAAUGA
rnacentral:tRNA from 1 species